rnacentral:rRNA from 1 species
UACGAAGGGGGCUAGCGUUGUUCGGAAUUACUGGGCGUAAAGCGCACGUAGGCGGAUUGUUAAGUCGGGGGUGAAAUCCUGAGGCUCAACCUCAGAACUGCCUUCGAUACCGGCGAUCUUGAGUUCGGAAGAGGUUGGUGGAACAGCUAGUGUAGAGGUGAAAUUCGUAGAUAUUAGCUAGAACACCAGUGGCGAAGGCGGCCAACUGGUCCGAUACUGACGCUGAGGUGCGAAAGCGUGGGGAGCAAACAGG